AGAAGGAAUGGAGGAAGAAUAGGGCCCAAAGGAGAGAGAAGAUGGUGGAGAAAAAGCAGAGAGAAGGAAUGGAAGGCAAUGAGGUGAAGCAGCCGGAGCGUGGUGAGGCUGGAGGCGGAAUUCAUCGAAUCAGAGGAAACGGCCCCAAAAAGGAGAGGCGCGGUUGUGGCAGCGCCAAGAGACAAAAGUGGAGGAGCAAUUAAUAAGUAACAAAAAAAAGGCAAUUUAAGAUAAUAAUGAUGAGAAAAAAAAAGAUGAGGAAAUAAAAACUAUGGACCCUCAGGAUUGAAAGAUUUGAGCCGAGAAAGGGGAAAAAUCUCAGCAUCCAGGAGCUUUUCUGCAGGGAGAUUUGAGGAUAAAAGCCACAGAUUUGGGUAACUGAGACUCUCAGAAGUGUUUUAGCCUUGAACCGUCGGAUUUUGAGGGCAAAAAAGGCAAAAAGCAAAGGGCGCUGGGUGUUGGCAGCAAAGGGAUCUUCGGCACAGAUCAGUGAGAGCACCAAAACUGCGGGAAUUUGCCCCAAAACCGAGGCAGCGUGGACUCCUGAGGCGAAAAGGCAGAGAGAAACACGGCAGCAAAACCAUCUCCCCCAUAAAAAAAAACAAAAAGCUACGUAUAGGAUAAGGGAGGAAAAAAAAAUAGGUAUUUGUGCUGUUUUUCACCCAAAUUGGAGAUGUGGGUGGAUUCGGGGCGAUGGCGUUAGGUUCACCCCGGGGUGGGUCGGCCCCAUUUCAGCCCUAAUUUUGCUUGUUUUCUACCCAUUUGAGAAUGAAAAACAAACGGUGGCAGGAAAUGCCCCCCCAAAAUGGCUGGAAAUGGCCCCAAAAUGGCCGAAAAUGGCCCCAAAAUGGCCAGAAAUAACCCCAAAAUGA
rnacentral:lncRNA from 1 species